rnacentral:rRNA from 1 species
AUGUUUCUGCUUCACGGAUAUGAUAUUUUUUGGACAUAUUUAUUAAUAGCAAGCCUUAUUCCUAUUUUGGCAUUUUUGAUUUCAGGACUUUUAGCCCCGGUUAGUGAAGGACCAGAGAAGCUUUCUAGUUAUGAAUCGGGUAUAGAACCCAUGGGAGGUGCUUGGGUACAAUUCCGAAUACGCUAUUAUAUGUUUCCGCUUGUUUUUGUUGUUUUUGAUGUGGAAACUGUCUUUCUAUACCCUUGGGCAAUGAGUUUUGACGCAUUCGCAGAAUCAAUCUAUCCUAACCCAGACGUACUUUUCGGAUCAGUGACGGCCUCUCCAGCAGAGCUGGGCGCCGGGGCCUUGGAUGCGCUA